GCCGGGGUGGCGAAAUUGGUAGACGCAGGGGAUUCAAAAUCCCCCGGUGGCAACACCUUGUCGGUUCGAGUCCGACCCUCGGUACCA
rnacentral:tRNA from 1 species